rfam:Podospora anserina genomic DNA, chromosome 5.
GGUCUGCUGGCGUAAUUGGAAGCGCGUCUGACUACGAAUCAGGAGGUUCCAGGUUCGAGCCCUGGGUGGAUCG